rnacentral:lncRNA from 13 species
UAAAUUUCCUUAUUUUAUAUGUAAAAAUAAAUUUUAUUUAUUUAUUUAUUUAUUUGAGACCGAGUUUCACUCUUGUUACCCAGGCUGGAGUGCAAUGGCAUGAUCUUAGCUCACCGCAACCUCCGCCUCCUGGGUUCAAGCAAUUCUCCUGCCUCAGCCUCCUGAGUAGCUGGGAUUACAGGCACGCGCCACCAUGCCCAGCUAAUUUUUUGUGCUUUUAGUAGAGACGGAGUUUCACCAUGUUGAGCAGGAUGGUCUCGAUCUCUUGACCUUGUGAUCCACCUGCCUUGGCCUCCCAAAGUGCUGGGAUUACAGGCGUGAGCCACCGCGCCCAGCCCAAAAAUAAAUUUUUAAUCUAUAUAUUACUCUGCCUCUAUGGAUCUGCCUGGCACAGCCCACUCAGCUGCUUUCACAGGCUGACAUUGAGUGUCUACGGCUUUUCCAAGUCUGUUCCAGACUCAGAACAGAGCGACUCAGACUUGGAACACAGCGACUCAGAAUCAGGACACAGUGACUCAGACUCGGGACACAGCGACUCAGACUCGGAAGUGCCUCUUGACACAACUCAAAUACUUACACAGUACAUGGGACCCUCCAUAAUACAACCUCUGACUGAAUGAUCCAUUCCAAGAAAGAAGUGAGAGGACAUCUUCUGGAUGGGCAGAGCUCCCAGUGUUGGAUUUGGUCAGCUACUUUAUAUGGAAAGAUAAACAGGCUGAGGUAAGUGGCACAAUCCUG